GACGAACGCUGGCGGCGUGCUUAACACAUGCAAGUCGAACGCUGAAGCCCUUUCGGGGGUGGAUGAGUGGCGAACGGGAGAGUAACACGUGGGUAAUCUGCCCUGUACUUCGGGAUAAGCCUUGGAAACGGGGUCUAAUACCGGAUAGGACCUGUCCUCGCAUGGGGGUGGGUGGAAGGUUCCGGCGGUAGGGGAUGAGCCCGCGGCCUCGCCGCUUGGUGGUGGGGUAGUGGCCUACCAAGGCGACGACGGGUAGCCGGCCUGAGAGGGUGACCGGUCACACUGGGACUGAGACACGGCCCAGACUCCUACGGGAGGCAGCAGUGGGGAAUCUUGCGCAAUGGGCGAAAGCCUGACGCAGCAACGCCGCGUGGGGAUGACGGCCUUCGGGUUGUAAACCUCUUUCGACAUCGACGCAGGGGCCCUGUUGUGGGGUUUUGACGGUAGGUGUAGAAGAAGCACCGGCUAACUACGUGCCAGCCGCCGCCGUAA
rnacentral:rRNA from 1 species